CCCUCAUUUAAAAAUUAAAAAUCAGGCCAGGUGCGGUGGCUCACCCGGUGCUGCCUUCUUGAGCCGUGGCCUCCACAGUGCUUCACCUGGCUCCCGCAAAACAGCUUCAUUGAGAUGAAAUUCACAUGCUCACAAGUCACUCUUUACAGUGUACAAUUCAGUGGUUUUUAGCAUGUUCACGAAGUUGUGCAACCAUCCCCACUCAUCUCACUCCGGAACACGUUCAUCAUCCGCAGAAGACGUCCUGUGCCUGUUAGCAACCGCUCCCCGCCACGGUUUGAG
rnacentral:lncRNA from 1 species